rnacentral:lncRNA from 1 species
AUCUUCUCUAUUACUCACAAAAAUUUCUCGCUCAUUUGGGGUCGAGAUGCGAACCCCAAGACUGGCAAGCUGAUAAACCUCCCGAGCUAGGAGCCUCUGAUCCGCUACCAAGUGAGCCAAACUACACACGGAUUUGAGAAUAAGGGCUUCGGCCACCACAUUCGCCUUACCCGGAUGGUACAAGAUGUUCAUAUCAUAAU